AGAGUUUGAUCAUGGCUCAGAGUGAACGCUGGCGGCAGGCCUAAUACAUGCAAGUCGAACGGCAGCACAGCAGAGCUUGCUCUGUGGUGGCGAGUGGCGGACGGGUGAGGAAUACGUGGGAAUCUGCCCAGUCGUGGGGGAUAACGUAGGGAAACUUACGCUAAUACCGCAUGCGCCCUUCGGGGGAAAGCCGGGGACCUUCGGGCCUGGCGCGAUUGGAUGAGCCCACGUCGGAUUAGCUAGUUGGCGGGGUAAAGGCCCACCAAGGCGACGAUCCGUAGCUGGUCUGAGAGGAUGAUCAGCCACACUGGAACUGAGACACGGUCCAGACUCCUACGGGAGGCAGCAGUAGGGAAUAUUGGACAAUGGGCGCAAGCCUGAUCCAGCCAUGCCGCGUGAGUGAAGAAGGCCCUCGGGUUGUAAAGCUCUUUUGUCCGGAAAGAAAAGCGCCGGGUUAAUACCCUGGUGUCCUGACGGUACCGGAAGAAUAAGCACCGGCUAACUUCGUG
rnacentral:rRNA from 1 species